UGACGUCAUCAGUGAUGAUGACGAUGACGAUGCACAUGCCGAUGAAGUCAUUGGCGUCCGCAUCGCAAUCGUCAUCGUCACUGAUGACGUCAU
rnacentral:pre_miRNA from 1 species